UCUACUCUCCCUCUCUACUCUCAGUUCUCUCCUCCUGAUUCUACCAGUCCAUUAAUCCCCUCACCAAUUUCUUGUGUUCUGUGACCAGACUUUGCAAGAUCGGACUCAGCUGGACCUUCUGGUGCUUCGUCUAUCAGUUCACUUCCUCCUCGGUUAAAUUGAGAUCCCUGCCACCUUGGUGCCCAUUUCAAAUUCCACCAAGCUUAAUUUUAGCAAAAAGAGAGAAGAAUUUAGGUGACGGUACUCCUCCUUUGGACCGGACCUGAUCCGUGGCUCCUGGUGUUCUCUUGCUUUCGAUCUGUGUUGUUAGAGAAGGCGUUUUGGAAUGUAUAAGUUGUACUUUCCUUAAGCCUGCUUCUGAUGGUAGU